GACGAACGCUGGCGGCGUGCUUAACACAUGCAAGUCGAACGGUAAGGCCCUUCGGGGUACACGAGUGGCGAACGGGUGAGUAACACGUGGGUGAUCUGCCCUGCACUUCGGGAUAAGCCUGGGAAACUGGGUCUAAUACCGGAUAGGACCACUGCCUGCAUGGGUGGUGGUGGAAAGUUUUUCGGAAAGGGAUGGAGUCGCGGCCUAUCAGCUUGUUGGUGAGGUAACGGCUCACCAAGGCGACGACGGGUAGCCGGCCUGAGAGGGCGACCGGCCCCACGGGGACUGAGACACGGCCGAGACUCCUACGGGAGGCAGCAGUGGGGAAGAUUGCACAAUGGGCGAGAGCCUGAUGCAGCGACGCCACGUGAGGGAUGAAGGGCUGCGGAUUGUAAACCUCUUUCAGUAGGGACGAAGCGAAAGUGACGGGACCUAAAGAAGAAGCACCGGCUAACUACGUGCCAGCAGCCGCAGUAA
rnacentral:rRNA from 1 species